rnacentral:sRNA from 1 species
GAAUUCGGGGCAAGGGACAAAAAUACAGCAACAGGAGAAAAGACUCACAGAGGUAGAAAGAGACUGGGAGACAAAAAGAGAGAAACAUAUCAAAAAGAUGUGGAGAGAGAGAUAGAAACAGAGCCAGGCAGAGUAAAAAGAGGCUGAGAGAGAUGAGUUAGAGAUAUGCAGCUGGAUAUGUAGAGGACAGAGAAAAGCAAAUUGGGCCAGAUAGUGUCAAAGACCUUUAGGCAAAUGGAGGGCAGCCAGGGACACAGGCGUGUGCACAGCAAGGCUAUAACCUCUCCUGACCCUUACCUCCCCUCCCUACUGUGGACGCAGGAGAAAUCCAACCCACACAGUGAAUUCAGCCACCAGAACCUCAUCAUCAACACGCUCUCACUCUUCUUUGCUGGCACUGAGACCACCAGCACCACUCUCUGCUACGGCUUCCUGCUCAUGCUCAAAUACCCUCAUGUCGCAGAGAGAGUCUACAAGGAGAUUGAACAGGUGGUUGGCCCACAUUGCCCUCCAGUGCUUGAUGACCGAGCCAAAAUGCCAUACACAGAGGCAGUCAUCCAUGAGAUUCAGAGAUUUGCCGACCUUCUCCCCAUGGGUGUGCCCCACAUUGUCACCCAACACACCAGGUUCCGAGGGUACAUCAUCCCCAAGGGAAGCGCAUUUGUCUUGGUGAAGGCAUUGCCCGUGCCGAAUUAUUCCUCUUCUUCACCACCAUCCUCCAGAACUUCUCCGUGGCCAGCCCCGUGGCUCCUGAAGACAUCGAUCUGACACCCCAGGAGUGUGGCGUGGGCAAAAUACCCCCAACAUACCAGAUCCGCUUCCUGCCCCACUGAAGGGGCUGAGGGAAGGGGGUCAAAGGAUUCCAGGGUCAUUCAGUGUCUCCGACUCUGUAGACAAUGGCUCUGACUCCCCGCAACUUCCUGCCUCUGAGAGACCUGCUGCAAGCCAGCUUCCUUCCCUCCAUGGCACCUGUUGUCUGAGGUCACAUUGCGAGUGAGUGGAGGAGUGAGAUUAUUGAAAAUUAUAAUAUACAAAAUUAUAUAUAUAUAUAUGUUCUUUUUUUUUGAGACAGAGUCUCACACUGUUGCCCAGGCUGGAGUGCAGUGGCGUGAUCUCAGCUCACUGCAACCUCCACCCCCAGGGUUCAUGCAAUUCUCCUGCCUCAGCCUUCCUAGUCGCGGGGAUUACAGAUGUGUGCUACCACGCCUGGCUAAUUUUUGUAUUUUUAGUAGAGACGGGGUUUCACCGUGUUGGCCAGGCUGGUCUCAAACUCCUGAACUCAAGUGAUUCACCCGCCUUGGCCUCCCAAAGUGCUGGGAUUACAGGUGUGAGUCACCGUGCCCAGCCAUGUAUAUAUAUAAUUUUAAAAAUUAAGAUGAAAUUCACGUAAAAUAAAAUUAGCCAUUUUAAAGUGUAAAAUUUAGUGGCAUGUGGUUCAUUCACAAAGCUGUACAACCACCACCAUCUAGUUCCAAACAUUUUCUUUUUUUCUGAGAUGGAGUCUCACUCUGUUGCCCAGGCUGGAGUUCAGUGGUCUUGAACUCCUGAUGUCAGGUGAUUCUCCUAGUUCCAAAUGUUUUCAUUAUCUCCCCCAAAACAAAACCCAUACCUAUCGAGCUGUCACUCCCCAUACCCCAUUCUCUUUUUCAUUUCAGCCUCUGCCAAUCUGGUUUUUGUCCCUAUGGACUUACCAAUUCUGAAUAUUUCCUGUAAACAGAAUCACACA